AGGACGAACGCUGGCGGCGUGCUUAACACAUGCAAGUCGAGCGGAAAGGCCCUUCGGGGUACUCGAGCGGCGAACGGGUGAGUAACACGUGAGUAACCUGCCCUGGACUUUGGGAUAACCCUCGGAAACGGGGGCUAAUACCGGAUAUGACGACUCACCGCAUGGUGUGGUUGUGGAAAGUUUUUCGGUUGGGAUGGGCUCGCGGACUAUCAGCUUGUUGGUGGGGUGAUGGCCUACCAAGGCGACGACGGUUAGCCGGCCUGAGAGGGCGACCGGCCACGACUGGGACUGAGACACGGCCCAGACUCCUACGGGAGGCAGCAGUGGGGAAUAUUGCACAAUGGGCGGAAGCCUGAUGCAGCGACGCCGCGUGAGGGAUGACGGCCUUCGGGUUGUAAACCGUCUUUCAGCAGGGACGAAGCGAAAGUGACGGUACCUGCAGAAGAAGCACCGGCCAACUACGUGCCAGCAGCCGC
rnacentral:rRNA from 1 species